rnacentral:rRNA from 1 species
AUGGAGAUUUUCAAGGGGGAGGAACUAUUCUGGCAGCAACGAGGGGGGCAGAAGUGGCUCCUUCAAGGCGAUGCUAACACCGCGUAUUUCCAAGCGAUCGCGAAUGGGCGUCGCAGGAAGUGCUCCAUCCCAUGCCUUUGGAAAGGGAACGCCCUUCUCGAACACCCGGAUGAGAUUAGGACCCACAUUUACUCCUUCUAUAAGGGGCUCUUCUCGGCAGAACCCCGUGGUGGGAUCUCCCUGGCAGAUGAUUUCUGGCCCCUUGCGGGUAGGGUAUCUGACAUAGAGAAUGCGGAACUGACUAUCCCUUUCUCGCCGGAAGAGGUGGGGCGGGCGAUCGCCUCGAUGAAGGCUGGGUCGGCACUGGGCCCGAAUGGCUUGCCGGUUGCCUUCUUCUAG